rnacentral:tRNA from 1 species
GCCUGGGUGGCUCAGUCGGUUGAGCACCCGACUUCAGCUCAGGUCAUGAUCUCAGGGUUCGUGAGUUCGAGCCCCGCGUCGGGCU